AUUACUAUUCCAAAAGAGAAAGGUAAGUUAAUUAUAUUUGACUCAAGGUGUGUUCAUCGUGUAAGAAAGGUA
rnacentral:tRNA from 1 species